rnacentral:miRNA from 1 species
AAACACGCGGGAAUGUUGCGAGGGUUAAGAAAAGCGAGCGAAAUCAUGAGCCGAAGGCGAGUGAUUUUGCCCGCUUUUCUUAACUCGAGCAACAUUCCCAAGUGUUUGGAUCAUUCCAU